GGAGUAGUACUCAAGUGGUUAAGAGGACGGUUUGCUAAACCGUUAGGUCGGGUUACCGGCGCGAGGGUUCAAAUCCCUCCUGCUCCGCCA
rnacentral:tRNA from 1 species